ACCCAGGAAGACUAGUGGUUAGGCCACAGCGCUUUCACCGCUGCAGCCCAGUUUCGAUUCCUGGCCAGGGAA